GAUGAAGAACGCAGCGAAAUGCGAUACUUGGUGUGAAUUGCAGAAUCCCGUGAACCAUCGAGUCUUUGAACGCAAGUUGCGCCUCAAGCCAUUAGGUUGAGGGCACGUCUGCCUGGGCGUCACAUAUCGUUGCCUGAUGCCAGUUUCCUCGUGAUGGUUGACUGUGCAGGGCGAAUGAUGGCUUCCCGUGAGCAUUGUUGCCUCAUGGUUGGUUGAAAAUUGAGUCCUUGGUAGGGAGCGCCGUGAUAGAUGGUGGUUGAGUGACGAACGAGACCCAAUCAUGUGAGACCCCUACCGAAUUUGGCCUUCAUGACCCACAUGCGUCUUUGGAACGCUCAUGACGAGACCUCAGGUCAGGCGGGGCUACCCGCUGAGUUUAAGCAUAUCAAUAAGCGGAGGA
rnacentral:misc_RNA from 1 species